AGAGUUUGAUCAUGGCUCAGAUUGAACGCUGGCGGCAGGCCUAACACAUGCAAGUCGAGCGGCAGCGGGAAAGUAGCUUGCUACUUUUGCCGGCGAGCGGCGGACGGGUGAGUAACACGUGGGCAACCUGCCCAACAGAGGGGGAUAACACAUGGAAACAGGUGCUAAUACCGCAUAGGUCAUCAUUCCACAUGGAAAGAUGACAAAAGACGCUACGGUGUCGCUGUUGGAUGGGCCCGCGCUGCAUUAGUUAGUUGGUGAGGUAACGGCUCACCAAGACCAUGAUGCAUAGCCGACCUGAGAGGGUGAUCGGCCACACUGGGACUGAGACACGGCCCAGACUCCUACGGGAGGCAGCAGUAGGGAAUCUUGCACAAUGGGCGCAAGCCUGAUGCAGCCAUGCCGCGUGUAUGAAGAAGGCCUUCGGGUUGUAAAGUACUUUCAGCGAGGAGGAAAGGUUGAUGCCUAAUACGUAUCAACUGUGACGUUACUCGCAGAAGAAGCACCGGCUAACUCCGUGCCAGCCGCCGCGGUAAUAC
rnacentral:rRNA from 1 species